UUAGAGUUUNAUUCCCGCUCAGGACGAACGCUGGCGGCGUGCUUAACACAUGCAAGUCGAACGAUGAUGCCCAGCUUGCUGGGUGGAUUAGUGGCGAACGGGUGAGUAACACGUGAGUAACCUGCCCCUGACUCUGGGAUAAGCGUUGGAAACGACGUCUAAUACUGGAUAUGACUGCCGGCCGCAUGGUCUGGUGGUGGAAAGAUUUUUUGGUUGGGGAUGGACUCGCGGCCUAUCAGCUUGUUGGUGAGGUAAUGGCUCACCAAGGCGACGACGGGUAGCCGGCCUGAGAGGGUGACCGGCCACACUGGGACUGAGACACGGCCCAGACUCCUACGGGAGGCAGCAGUGGGGAAUAUUGCACAAUGGGCGAAAGCCUGAUGCAGCAACGCCGCGUGAGGGAUGACGGCCUUCGGGUUGUAAACCUCUUUUAGUAGGGAAGAAGCGAAAGUGACGGUACCUGCAGAAAAAGCACCGGCUAACUA
rnacentral:rRNA from 1 species